CGGGGUGCACCAGGCGCGAAAACUUUACAAUGCCGGCAACGGCGAUAAGGGAACCUCGAGUGCCAGGUUACAAAUCUGGCUGUCGUGAUGCCUAAAAAGCAUUGCAUAGCAAGGGCCGGGCAAGACCGGUGCCAGCCGCCGCGGUAACACCGGCGGCUCGAGUGGUAACCGUUAUUAUUGGGUCUAAAGGGUCUGUAGCCGGCCGGGUAAGUCUCUUGGGAAAUCUGGCAGCUUAACUGUCAGGCUUUCAGGAGAUACUGCCUGGCUCGAGGCCGGGAGAGGUGAGAGGUACUUCAGGGGUAGGGGUGAAAUCUUGUAAUCCUUGAAGGACCACCAGUGGCGAAGGCGUCUCACUAGAACGGACCUGACGGCAAGGGACGAAAGCUAGGGGCACGAACCGGAUUAGAUACCCGGGUAGUCCUAGCCGUAAACGAUACUCGCUAGGUGUCGGCCACGGUGCGACCGUGGUCGGUGCCGUAGGGAAGCCGUGAAGCGAGCCACCUGGGAAGUACGGCCGCAAGGCUGAAACUUAAAGGAAUUGGCGGGGGAGCACAAGGGCGAAUUGCG
rnacentral:rRNA from 1 species